UUUUGGCUGGUUGCAACCAUAUGUUAAGUCAGGAGUGAGGUGGCUGACGAGCCGGGAAACCUCCCCUGACCCCGAGGUUCCUGACGAGGAACAAGGGAAGAUUUAGUUUCAGUUUGUCGUGGUGCCCAUUCAUCUUGUCUUUUGUAUGUUAAUGUUGUGUCUGUUGUGUGUUUGAUUUUACAUUUUUUUCUUUCUAAUCUUCAUCAGGAGCAGAGUAAUGGGAGGAACCUGUUCUACCGGGUCCACUCCGCUUGACUGCUUUCUCACUAAUUUUAAAUUGGCUUUUUCUCCAGAACAAGAAGAUGAAUAUGGGGUGAAAUUUUCUCGAGGAAAACUCCACUCCCUGUGCCAACUGGAAUGGCCAGCCUUCAGGGUGGGAUGGCCAGCCGAAGCGACUUUUGACCCCAGUGUUUGCCGGGCGGUUUGGGGCAAAGUCACUGGUAGCCCUGGCCACCCAGACCAAUUUCCCUAUAUAGACAUCUGGGUUCAGGCUUGUGAGAAACCUCUGGCUUGGCUGCAGUGCUGUUCCCUCUGAACAGACACUCGCAUUUUAGUCGCUGCCCUAAAAGGGCCCUGGGAACUUAAACCCCGGGCUCCUAAGCCAGUUCUCUCACAGGAACCUGACCCCCUGGAUCCCUUAGGAGGGCCUCCACCCUAUGUGGAAUCCUCCACCCCCUCAGAUGGCUCCCGCUCUAGACCCCGCAAUCCUUCCCUUCCUCCGUCUGUUCAACCUUCGGCUCCUACUCCUCUCUAUCCUCCUCUCCCUGAGGGGCCUCAGUCCCCGGACUCUGUGACUUCUCCCCCCCACACAUGAGCUGGGGCUGUGUAUAGGCCUCCAAGGUCCCCACUGGGGAAAUUAGUUCGGCCCCUCUCUUGCCCCUUCGGGAGACAGAACAAGGUCACUAUGUUUAUAUCCCUUUCACUACCAGUGACAUAUAAUUGGAAACAUCAAAAUCCUCCCUUCUCAGAGAAGCCCCAAGCCCUAAUAUCUCUCCUAGAGUCUAUCUUCCAUACCCAUGAUCCUACUUGGGAUGAUUGCCAACAACUCCUCCAGGCCCUUUUUACCUCAGAGGAGAGGCAAAGGAUCCGGGGACAAGCUGUGAGGUCGGUACUAGGUGGACCAGAAGGCCCCCUAGAUGACCAACAGUGAGCCUGUCUGGAAGCACAGCUCCCAUCCACCCGACCCUGCUGGCAAACUAAUACCUCGGGCAGGAGAGAAGCUCUCCAGAGCUAUCAUCAUCAUCUCCUGGCCAGCCUGAGGGGAGCUGCUUGGAAGCCUACCAAUUUGAGCAAGGUAAGUGAGGUCCUUCAAGGACAAGAGGAAUCCCUUUCUGCCUUUUUGGAGCAUCUGUUGGAAGCAUACCAUACGUAUACUCCAAUUGAUCCAGACACCCCUGCAAAUUGGCAGGCAAUAAAUUUGGUAUUUGUUACCCAGUCGGCCCCAGACAUUAGAAAGAAGCUACAAAGACUAGAAGGAUUUGAGGGAGAGAAUAGAGAAAAGUUGAGCCAUGAAAGGGAGGGAGCAAGGGAAGGAUUCAACCCCUAUUAGAGAAAGAUCAAUGUGCCUAUUGUAAGGAAAAGGGCCAUUUUAAGAAGGACUGUAAAAAGCUAAAAAGAAAAAAAAAAAAAGGAGACCCAAAAGGAAAAAGGUGAAAUCCUCUUAGUAGAUGAAAAAGAUUGACGGGGCCAAGGCUCAUGGCUGCUCAACCCUAGUGAGCCUAUGGUGACUUUGGAGAUAGGGGGAACAGAUGUUCAGUUCCUUGUGGACACUAGUGCAGCCCACUCUGUCUUGAAGACGCCCCUUGGACCCCUCACUUCCUCAAAAACCUCCAUUACUGGAGCCACUGGGAAAGUGGCCUCCUACCUUGGACCACUAGAUGGACUGUGAAUCUAGGAAAAGUCACCGUCACCCAUUCCUUCUUAGUUAUCCCUGAGUGCCCAUACCCAUUGCUGGGAAGAGACUUGCUAUGAAAGUUGGGGGCUAUUAUUUCCUUUGAGCCUGAAAGAGGGACCUUUGAGCUUAAGCCACCCUCCACCAUUACGGUGACGGUUCCCCUAGAAGAUGAAUUUAGAUUGCUAAAGGAGGGUGCAGAGCUCCCCGAACAAAAAUGGGACUACCUUCAGAAAAAGUUUCCCAGGGUAUGGGCUGAAACCAAUCCACCUGGGCUGGCCAACCACCAUGCCCUGGUGGUGGUCCAGUUGCUGGCCUCUGCUGCCCCCAUCUGUGUGCGACAAUACCCCCUCCAGCUGGAGGCCAAGGUGGGAAUCUCUAAGCACAUCCACUGACUCCAAGAGGCUGGCAUCUUGGUCCCUUGCCAGUCAUCCUGGAAUACUCCCCUGCUUCCUGUGAGGAAGCCUGGCACCUCAGACUUCAGACCGGUACAGGAUUUGUGGGAGGUGAACAGCUGGAUGGAGAGUGUCCACCCAACAGUACCAAACCCCUAUACUCUGCUGAGUCUCAUCCCUCCUGCCCAUGUGUGGUAUUCAGUACUAGACCUUAAAGAUGCAUUUUUCAGCAUACCUCUGGCACCAGUGAUCCAACCCUUCUUUGCCUUCGAGUGGACUGACCCAGACACUGGGACUACUGGACAGCUGACAUGGACCCAGCUGCCACAGGGAUUCAAGAACUCUCCCAUUCUGUUUGGGGAAGCUCUCAGCAAAGAUUUACGAGAGAUUUGACUCCAAGACCCUUGAACCCCCGCUGGAAGGGACCAUUUCCCAUCGUACUGGUGACUCCCUCAGCAGUGAAGGUAGCUGGACACUCUGCCUGGAUCCACCGCAGCCAUUUAAAGGCAGCACCCCCGGAGGAAGCGACAUCAACAUGGCUGAUAGAUCGGAACACAAAGGACCCCCUCAAGAUAAGAUUGAUCAAAGACUAGUUUGGACAAUAUGGGGGUUCUUGGGACUACUGUUCUUACCAGCCCCAAUGGAAGGGGGACCUGGACACCAGCUGGUGUUGUCCAGCCACACUCCCCAGAACUGGACUUGGUCCUUGAAAAAUGCCUUAACGGGAGCUCACAUUGCCACCAUUACUACUGAUAGACAGCCCCAUUUUAUUAUACACCUGUGUUCUCUGGGGCUUCCAAUCAUUAGUGGUGGUGGGGGGGCUGGAUCAAAGGGUAAAGUUUCAUCUGGAAAGAUGGGUAAAGGGGGUCAUGGAGGGAAGUGUGGAAUAGAUGAUAAGUUGAAAAAAACUCUCCAAGAUAUAGAUAUUUAUGCUUGCCCCAUAGGAAAAAAUAAAAGGUACAAUGGGGGACCAGGAAACCACUGUCAUCAUUGAGGUUGCAAAUCUAUUGCCCCGUGAAAAAACAAUGAUGCGUACUUGGCCUUGGAACGACAAACACCAAGUGGUUCAUGUUCCAAAGGAAAAUGUAAUCCCAUCAAGCUAACCUUAAAACAAUGACAAAAUCCAUAUAAAGAUUGGGAAAAAGAAAAAUCCUGGAAGUGAGACUCUAUGUGGGUGGAAAGGACCCUACGACUGACCUCCUCAUCCAGCGUAGCCCAGUAAUAGUACUGCCUAAACCAGUAGGCAACAUUUAUAGGGUCUCCAGCCCCUAAGAAAAAAAAAAGACAAAAGGAACCUAUAAUGUGUCAUUAGUUGCUCCUGAAUCUCUGAUCCAACCAUACCUAAAAACCCUGGAUGACAUGUACACCCUGUUAAAUGAGUCUAGCCCCAAUCUUACUCAAGGGUGUUGGCUGUGUUUGAGUCCACAUCCCCUGUAUUAUGUAGGGUUGACAGUAAAUGGCACCUUCUCAGAAGCUGACCAAAAUGAGUGUGAUUGGAAACAACCGAGGUUGUCAAUUGGGGAUAUAAAAGGAAAAGGGUUAUGUGUUAAAAAUCCAAGUGUUACAUCAUCUUAUCUGGACAGUAUAUGUUCUUAUCAGACACCCACCGUCAGUAAUAAAAAAUAUUUAAAAGCUGAAAACAAUACAUGGUGGACAUGUACAAAUGGUAUAACUCCCUGUUUAUCCAUGACAGUCCUCAAUCAGGAACUUGAGGUAUGUGUAAUGGUCCACAUUUUACCCCAAGUCACUAUAUAUGGAAAAGACCAGGGUUGGAAAUACCUAGCUAAGAGAACACACACCCGAGAGAAGUGCCACCCAACAUUGAUUCCUGUGUUAACUGCAGCAGGCAUUGCGGGAUCAGCGACUCUGGGUGUGACUGCAAUAGGACUGCAAGACUUUAAUUUCAAGAUCCUUGCCCAACAGGUAACAAUAGACUUAGGCCUACUUACCGAGUCAGUGUCUCAUUUGAAAAAACAAGUUGAUUCUCUGGCUGAGAUGGUCCUUCAAAACCGCGGAGGACUUGACCUCGGAUUUAUAAAAGAGGGAGGGCUAUGUGCAGCCCUAGGAGAACAAUGUUGCUAUUAUGCUAACAAAUCUAAAAUAAUAAGAGAAACUCUGGCCACUGUAAAUAAACAUCUACAAAAAAUUAUAAUAGAUUGAUAAAACAGGAGGGAUGGUUCCAGUCAAUGUUUAACUGGUCUCCCUGGAUGACUACCCUUGUUUCUGCCCUUGCUGGACCCCUGUUAAUCUUGUUACUAGCUUUGACUUUUGGCCCAUGCAUUAUUAAUAAGCUUAUGGCCUAUGUAAGGGCCCAGAUAGGAUCUGUUCGUCUAAUGAUUUUAAAUCAACAGGCCAAAUAUCAUCCUUUAAGUGAGCUAGAUAAAAAA